AGGGGUCUGCGUUGUGCGUGUAGGUUGAAAGUGCCUCGAGCCCGAUUUGUUCUUAUAGGGGGCCGUCCCUGGUAAUCCAGUUGGGGUUGCUACAUGGCACCCACCUUGGCUUUAGUCUCAGGACACUAAGCAAAGUGUUACGGCAAAGGCGGAUCCCU
rnacentral:other from 1 species